GCUAUCUAACCAAGCUGUACCUCUAAGUUCUUCACUAUGGUCCUCUAGUUGGUCAUGUUAGUCUCAAUGUUGUCAAGUCUUGACUCAUCUUUGUUGAACUUCAACCUGGUCUCUAAAAUUAAGGUUCAUAAUAUAUCCUCUAGUGAUGGCAUCCCUUCAGAUAGCUGAGUAUUGUAUCCUGGUGGGGGCUGCAACACAUUAGCAUUGUUGCCAUAAAAGAGGUUUUCAUGGUUUCGCAGUCCCGGAUGGUACUAGUUUACUGAGUAGUUUCCUCUUUGAUUGAAAUUUUUGCCAUUCACAUAUUGGACUUGCUCAUUCUCUGACUUAGAUGCAUAAUAGAAGUAGAGGCAGCCAUGAUGGAAUCUAAUUUCUUAAUGUCAAUGCAACUAUUUGAUUAAUGAGAGAUGACAUUUGAGCUACAAAGACGGUAAUGAGAUCCACCUUAUAAAGGCCAGCAACUUUCUUUACACUUGAACGCUUACUUGGCCAUUGAUAACUGUUAGUAGCUAUCUCAUCCAAUAAUACGUAGGCCUCAUCUGGAGUCUUGGUCAUCAAUGUGCCACUUGAUGCAAAGUCUACCACUAUUCGUGUCUGACCAUUCAAACCGUUGUAGAAGGCUUGUAUCUGCAACCAAUUCGGGUAACCAUGCCUCAUAGAAUAAAUAUUUAUAUCUUUCCCAUGCCUCAUAGAACGGUUUGAAGUCUGACCGUCGAAACUACCCAAUUUCACCUAGCAAUUGCACUACCUUCGAAGGUGUAAAGAAUUUUGCAGGAAACUUCUGUGCUAACUCCUCCCAAGUUGUGAUGGAUCAAUUUGACAAUGAUUGGAAAUAUGCUAUCUCUUAGGGAGAAGGAAAAUAGACAGAAUCAGAUUGUAUCUUCAGUAACACCAUUCAUUUUUCACCGUAUCACAUAUCCAGAAAAGAACCCAGAUGAGUAUUUGGGUCUUUUUUUGGAGCUGCCCCAACUAAUUUUAUUGUACAAUAUGAAUUAGCUCUGGCUUCAGUUUGAAAUUAAUUGCAGCUAUUGUUGGAUGUGCAAUACUGGAACUAUAAUUGGUCUGAUGUAGUCUCUUAUAGCCCUUUGUUGAACAUUAUGAUUGUUCUGGUUUGCUAAUGGUGGAUUUUGUUCGGCCAUUGCUUCAAGGUAAUGUCUCUGAAUAUUCCUUAUAAAUUUGAAAGUUUGUCCUGGUUCAGGAUCAACGGGUAGUAGUCCAACACUCCUCGAUCUUCGCAUACACCU
rnacentral:lncRNA from 1 species